ensembl:lncRNA
GGAAUACUAUCUCUAAACUUGCAUCUUCAUUAUGAGAUCUAUUUCAGUGCUAUUGUUACUCCUGGGAAGAUCGUAGAUCAUUUAUUUUGUGUGGGAGUGAUACUGAUGGUGAGAUGAUACUAUUCUUCCCUACACACCUCCCUGAUUUAUUGUGUAUUUGAGAAUAUCUCACUGCUUGCUGAUGAAAUUUGAGAAUAAUUUGCAUCCAUGUUAAACAAUAUGAAUCUUUGUCCACCCUUUCAGUUAAUUUAUUUUCUGAAACACAGGUAGUUUCCAGAAACAGAGUAAUAGUGAGAGGGUGGACUUUGAGGAUACUAAUUGUUAGAAGUUCUGUUUUUCAGAAAGGGUCUAGUUUGCUAAUAACUGUGACUGAGUUUCAUGAAGAAUAGAUUCAAAUGUUGGUUGAUUUACCUGAACAUGUCUUGGAAAAAAAAAAAGGGGUGUAAUGUUUGAGCACUGGAGGAGCAAGAGAAGUAACUUUAUAGUUAGAGACGUUAGUUCCAUACAGAAGCAGCAGUAUGUGUUCUCAGUCACUGUGGAAAUUAUUCCUUUGUUUUCAGUUAUCAUAUCCUUGGCAUGGUAAAGCCUCUUCAGCCCCUACAAGGUCAUUUGAUUUGAUUGUCAGGCCUAGCACACUACAAAGGCAUUUGAUUUGAUUGUCAGACCUGUGUAGGUGCCUCUUUGAAAAUUUAAAUAUACUGUGAAUAGAAUAGAAACAUGUUUAUCCCACUUUCCCACUUAAUUUGUAUACUGUCCAGUGAAACACAGAACUGAAAAACCAAUGCAGUAAGCCUCCAUGUUCUUUUGUUCUAUUAAUACCACUGUGGUUGAAUAUCUUGAAAUUUUUGACCAUGCCAACAUGCCUGAUAUAAAUAGCUGUGCAAAUAGAGCUCAGCUGAGAUUACCAAACUUGGUGUUUUGCAUUUUUGAUCCAACUUGAAUGGGGAUGUCUGAAAGCAAGAUAGAAAUUAUCCCCUGUGGCACUAAUCUGGCAUGACGACUGAGAAAUUAAAGACCUUGUUUUCAGGAUUUUCUGCCUGACUGCCAUAUCACCAGUAGGCCUUUGCCUAAAGAUCCUGAUCUCAUGCUAGGACAGUGUCUGCUGUUCCUUCCUACAGAAAGAGCAUGAAAUAAGUGGAUGGAACACGGAAGUUCAGAUAUACUUCAUCUUAGUUCUUAGCUCAUUAUCUUUUCUACUUCCUUAUCAAAACAGCCUCCCUCUUCUAUUUUUCCUUUUUCCUUCAGGCAGCCCCUUAACCUGAAUGUUUCCUCAAACAGGGCCCUUUGUAGACUGUCAAAGCUGAACUGUAAAAUGUUUUUAAAAAGUCUAUUUCAAAGUGUGAACCAGUUAUCUGACUUAGGAAGAGGAUUUUUUGCUGGGAAGCAUUGGAUGUUAAUGUCGGAAUUAAUAGCUCUACCUUUAGGAGCCUUGCAAUAUCUUCAAGAAAUUCCUAUGCAGGUAGGAUGUGUACAUGUAGUAAAGGAAGCUAGAGGUGUGGAAUUCACAGAAGGUAAUUUAAUUUCAGUAGAGUGGGUAGGCCUGUAGAUAGGAGAUGGAAGACUGCAAGAGUUGUAGCAAGUGCAUUUCUUAAAAUAGAGAUAUUCUCAGGAUUUAUCUUAUAGUAAAUGAAAAUAAAGACUAUAGCCCAUAUCUCCUGCCUACCAUCAAAAUAUUAGAAGCGUAAUUUGAGAACAAGUCUUAAGGAGUUUUCAUUUAUGUAAUAUAUGGUUGGGAUUAAUGAGUUAUAGUCAAAUUAUUAUGCGGGAGAGAGAAAGGAAGAAGCAGUACUUAACUUGUAGUCAGUUUACUGCUAGGGGUAACACGCAAGCUGUUGGAAAAAACAACAACAAAAGCCAACAAAAACAACACCACUACCAACAAAACCACCUCUUGGGAGCUGUUGGAAUAGUUCUGUAGGUGAAAGUUCUUGACAGAAUGCUGGUGUUCUCUGAGUCUGACAGUAUUGUGUUAUAUGAAAAUAAAUCAUCGUUUUUCCAGGACUUUCAAAGAUGUUAAAACUCUGCAUCAGCUCUGUAUCUGUACAGAGACAUUACCUACCCAGACCAGAUCAAAGUUGCAAUAUAUACAUCUUGGAAUUUUUUUGUUGUUGUUGUUUUCCUCACUCAAGGUGUUUUAAAUGUCAUUUUUUAAUGUGUACAAGAGCACAACUUCGUUGAAUGUUUUGGUUUUUUAGUGCUUUUGUGUACCUAGUCUAUACUAUUUUUUCCUUUUCCUCCCCUACAAUACAGGUGUGAAGAUCUAACUCAGCUCAACUAAUGACCCGUGAGUGCCACAUGUUGUCUCUGCAUAUGAUUUCUUAAAAAGAAUAGAAAAUGUAUACUACUUUUUUUGUUGUUAACUUUCAGAAAGGUUCUCUUCCCAGCAAAUGGAUAACUGUUUUCCCUUUUAAUCCAGCCAUCAUUUGGAAAUCUAGGUUGAGCUUCACAAGUGAAGUACAGAGGGUCUAAAAAGGUGUCAGCUCUCUGUGGUUGGUGGAUCCUUCUGUACUUUUAUUCCUGUUAUGACCUUGUGAGAACAAAUAUGUACAUAUAUCUUCAUAUUAGGGCAGCUGUGGUACAGAAAGUACGAAAAAGCUGCUCUCAAUGGUGAAGACUUAUUUAGCAAACUGGUCUUUAGAGGUGCAUCAGUAAAAUGUACCUUGAUCAAUGACAAUAGUAACAGUACACAUUUUUCUACUGCUGUCUUAAUCAUGUCUGUGCUCAGCUGAUUUUAUUUCCGGAAAUCAUUAAUUGUGAGACCUCAUGCUUUGCUAAAUACUUUACAAGGUUCUCUCCAUUUAAUCAGGCAUUUAUAAUGAAUGGCUUUGCAGUAACUGUCUGCUGCUGUAUUUUGGGCUUUCAUACACCUUUUGUAAUUAAAUAGAUUGUUUUCUUUAGAAUACUGUUAUAUAGCAAUUAUAUUGCUUCUCUAAGGCCUACAAGAUGAGAGUUGAUUAUCAAUACCUGAUCAAACAAUUUUUUUCAUGGCCAAGUGUUUGCAGGCCAGUCUCAUUAAUCAAGAAGUUUGCUGCUUAUGAAAACAUGGCCAUCUUUACACACCUUACUUAGGAAAUAAAUGUAAGCAUUUAGUUUUACUAUUUUAAUUUUCUUCCAGAUGCUGUUCCUCAAAUUGCAGGGCAGCUGAAGGAAUAAGAGCCUUAAUUCAGUGUUACAAUACUGUCUAUUCAAAUAAGUUGAGAAGCACUGAAGCAAGAAAACUUAAAACUUAAUAUGAUGUAAAAGUGUACUACAAACUUACUUGAACAGCAUCUUGUUCUUCAGAUAAAUAUUAGGCAAAGAAUCUAUAAAACUGGAGGCAGCAGUCAGCUAAGGCUAACAAGAUUUUAGGCUUGCGGCGACAGGAUCAGCAGCAUUUCAUGCCAUUUUAGGCAUUACUACAUGCUUUGCUUCAACCUUUUGUCAGUUCUUCCACAACAGAAUCCUGCUGCUGUAUCCAAAUCCCUGGUUAUUCCACGAGAAGUGUUUGACAUGGAUUUUGUUGAAGAUUUUGAUGUACACUUUCAGGAUUAUUUAUUCCAAAAGGUUUUAUAGUGCCGUGCAGAAGAUGAACAUUUCAAGUUCUUGAACUUUAAAAUAUUUGUACUUCCUCAGAAGUCUCCAGUCACUGACACAGUUUUUAAUACUUAGUGAACAGAAUGAAACAGGCUGCAUGUCUUUCAAGCUCCAAGUACAGUGGAGGAGGAAAUAAAUAGUGAAGGGAGUUUUUGUGGUAGUGUUUUACUCUCAGUUCUUGAUUAGUGUAUGUCUGCUGUCAUAGUUGCUGCCUAGGAGCUGGAAUGAGCACCUCUUAGAAGCAGUUCCAGUGUCUGAUCCAGCUGCUACUGAAGUCCAUCGCAAAAUUGCUACUUAUCUCAAACACAACCUUGAUCAGUCCUAACGCAAUAAUCUGGAAGGAAAAUUCAGUGUUCCAGAUACAUCAAAAACACUUGAGGAUUAACAGGAUGUGCUUUUAAUCCUCCUUCAGUAGCUCAUUGAAAUAGAUGGCUGGGACUAUGACUGUAAUUUUUAUUUUCAUUCUGGAACACUUGCCUGACAGAAAAUCCCCUGUCAGGCCAAGAACAUAUAAGAUUUUCAGCUGUGGGUCCAGUAUGAUCGAUUGUAACCAUCCAUCUCAGGGACAUUUGACGGAGAUUACUGAAUAAAACCAACAGUGUGGGUAUUGAUUCUGUAUUGCAGUCUGAAUGAUUGAAGGUGUAAAUGUGCCCUGAUUCAGCAGACGAGGAUUGGCAAAUGCAGGCAGGUAACAUUUUGCUCCAAAAACAUUUUUGUGAUUCCAAAUCUCUUGUGAUUUUAAAACAAAUACUGUUGAAUGAGAUUUUGAGCUUCAUAGUCCUUGAUGCUUACAUAAAAAGUAUUUUAUUCUUCCUAGAUGCUGCUGGAGCUUCAUUUGGUGUUUUUUUUAAAAAGGGCUCCUCUUCGCUAAAUUUCCUCUUAAGUAUAUGUAGGUUGCUCUGAAAGUAAUGCCUCCUCUUUAUUUCCAUGAAAACUGCUACAGCUACAAAGAGCACUGUGACACUGUUUGAUAGAGAAAAUUCUCAGCUACAGAACGUUUUUUUAACAUACUUUUGGAGCAGUCCUUGUGUGUUUCAUAUUCUGUAAUUCUGCAGAUAUCAAUAAAAUCAUAGUACUAUCAUAUUUUUCAUGCUAUUUAUGCCUGCAGGGUGCUGAGCAAUGGCAAGGCACUAACUUCCAUUACAGCUAUUGCUAAUUAAUCUGAAUAAAUUUGAGAAGCGUGCUAUAGUUUAUAUCCAGAAAGCUCAGCAUGAAAUAUACAAAGUGUCUUGCUUUUAUAGCUCAAAUGAUGUCUGUAAUGAUUUGAAGUUCUUAGCAACAUGUAAAACAUUUUAUCAUUUUAUCUCUUCAUCUAUUAGUAAAAUAUGCCCUACUUAUAAGAAGAGUCUUAGAACUUUCAUUCUCCCAUGGUACUUUUAAUGGCUAUAUACUUCCUUGGAAAUAGAUAGAUCACUACUCAUUUCUUACUGCUGCUACUUCAAUUUUUGCCACUAGAGUUUUUAUUCAGUUUCCAGACUCUUUACCAUUCUUCUUUUCUACCAUUGCUCAUUUGCUGAGUAGAGUGGUAGUCAGACGUUAUCCUGAUAGCUUCUGUUGGAAAUGCUGCUAGUUGUGAAAUGGAUACACUUUUCACUCAUUGUUUGUGAGAAUUUUUCUAAUCCAUCCACCUACUGCACAUCCUGGCCUUUAUUAGCUGCUAUUUUCCUUCUUGAAGCACCAAGGUAAAGGAUGGUAAAAGGAUUUCCUGUCUCUGGACUACAGCUUGGUUUCACAAUUCAAGUGCAGAUCUACAAACAAUAAGAAACAACACCCUUCUGUGCGAGGCAAUUGUAAGGCAGCCAUGGCAGUUCAAAUGCUGGGGAGAACUGUUCUAUGGUACAAGAAGGAGCAGCAUUCUGGCAGCUCUUGCUGAAGCAGCUGGGAAAGUGACCUUAUAAACAGAGCUGGUAUACUCCUCUCUGUUCACAGCCUGAGGAGUUGGAGGUGCUGAAAAACAAAGGAGGCAAACUAUCCUGUCAGUAAUCUGCUUUGCUGGACCCUGGAAACAUUCCUCUUCCAGUGCAUUGAUCAGGGAGUACAUCAGAAGCUUUCAAAAGUAAUAAAGACUCUAAGGAGACAAGAACAUGAAAAACCAAGCAAACUAUAAUUCUCCAAGACCUAAAAAAGAAGACUCAUAGCUCCUCCUUCAUGUUACUAAUUUCAUACAGCAUAAUGAAAAAAGAGACUAACAGCUUUGAGCCUUGCCAAGAUGGAUGGUUCAGAUAGUGGUAAUUUCUUAGUUUAGGGGGAGAAGUGUAAAUUUUUAGGCUUGGCCACUGCCAUGUUCCAUCCACGCUGCAGUUUGGAAUGAGCUCACAAUGUUCAGCUGACAACAGAAGAAAAAGUAACAGAAUGUCUCAGAAAAUGGCUAUUCAUGUCCAAAUACAAAAUGCAACUUUUUGGAAGGACUUUCCUAUAAUUAAACAGGAGCUUAAUUUUGGGCUGGCUUUUGUAUUUGCUCAAAAUUGAAGCUUUUCCUCUUUUAUGAGAUCUUCACUGUCAUUGUAUUUUUACGUGAACACUUGUUUGUACAAGUGAUAUGUACUGAGUACAGGACAUAUACUUAACAACAGACAUGCAGUUUAUAUUGUAUUUUGUAGGUUCAGGAUGAGCACUACUAAGGAAAAAUGCAGCAUGUUAUUGAACUCUGGGGAGAUCAUGAUAGGCAUACAAAUAUGUGCUCUUAUAAUUAUGCUUCCUUAACCUCUGUCAAUUUGCAAUGGACAUUUUAAAUUCAAUGUGGAAUCAAGUUUACUCAUUUGUUCAUGUUUUUUGUCACAGCUGGAAUCUCCACUGGCAUUGAUUUUACACUGCUUCUAUUUCAUUCACUUCAGUGGUAUUCAUAAGAUAGAAGAUGAUGCAAUCAUUUUAGUUUUACACCACACGGAAUAACAUGCCUUCAGACAAGACUGGUAUCUGGCUAAUGGCGACUUCAAAGUCUUACAUGCUGUAACAAACAACGUCAG